GUGUUCCAUUUGGCAACACAUACACUAAAAUUGGAACAAUACAGAGGUGAUUAACUUGGCCCCUGCACAAGUGUGACACGAAAAUUCAUGAAGCAGUCCAUGCUUUU
ensembl:snRNA U6 U6 spliceosomal RNA